ACUUUAACUAGUGGGUAAAUUGCGAAAAAGAAAUUAUUGUACCAGUAGUUAUGGCGACAAAUUCGGAUACAGACAGGACGGUGUACAGAGAUAGACACAUUGUUCUCUUGUGGUAAAAGGAAAGUGGCGGCAAGCAGCGACUCACACGCGUUAUUAUUUGUCUGGAGAAUUGAACAUCUUUCUUGUUAUAAUCUUUGAUUGUAUUAUAUCACAUCUACGUAAUGGGACCGAGAGCUAAACCCGGGGAGGGCAUUGUGGUGGUGAUGGAUGUCGGCCCUGGCGUACGAGCAGGAGUAGGUGAAACAUUCUUCUCUCAGUCCAAGACAUGUUUAGUAAAUAUCCUGCAGAGAAAGCUGUUUGCUGAAAAAUGUCGAGACAUGGUUGGCAUAGUGUUGUUUGGCACUAAUGACACGGAGAAUCGUCUUGCAAAAGCUAACCAGUACCAGCACAUCACAGUAAUGAAAGAGCCAAGGUUUGUGGAUUGGCAGAUGAUAGCUGAAGUGGAUGACCUUCCUCGUGGGAAUUCCCCGGGAGACUGGCUAGAUGCUCUCAUAGUUGCCAUGGACCUUUUGCAAGACCCUGAUGAUUUACAGUUUUGCAGUAAGAAGAUUGUCCUGAUAACAGACUUCAGUGGGGAGUUCAGUGAUGAUCAGUCCUCUAAGAUUAUUUCAGGACUUAAGAAUACGGGUAUUGACUUAAGUAUAAUUGGGCCAAAUAUGGCGGAUGUGGACGAUGACGAGGAUAUGGAUGAACCCGGACCAUCCAAUGGAGCAAGUAAAGAUAAGAAUAGGAAAGGAGCUGUACCCCAGAACUGGAAUGGUAAACCUAAGUCACCAGUCCAGCUAGCAGGUGAACUCCUUGCGACCAGGAUUGUGACAGAAGUUGAUGGCAUAUCAUGCAGCUUUGAUGAAGCCAUUCCACAGCUCAUAUUCUUUCAAAGAACCUCUGCAUCUAGUAUGAAUUGGAACACCGAAUUAGAAAUUGGCCGAGAGUUACUGAUUCCCAUCACUGGCUUAAUCAAGGUGAAGCGUCAAACAAUCCCCACAUGGAAGACAAAGUACGCCCAUGAUGAGUCGGAAGAAAUUUUGAGUGAAGCGUCCUACCAUCGCCAGGAUGAUGCACAAACAGUAGUUGAAGCUGAGGAAGUUAUUCCUGGUUACAAGUAUGGAAAAACAUUGGUUCCUGUCUCAGAUGAGGAUGCAAAAUUGAAGUACAGUUCAAACAGUCCUCGAUGUCUUACUGUAUUAGGACUUACCAAGUCAUCAUGCGUGCCUCACCUAAUGCGUGCUGGGGAUCAAGUUUUGGUCGUCAUUGCUCGACCAGAUGAGGAGGCAGCAGCUGUGGCACUGUCAGUCUUCAUUCAACUAUUAGAAGAGUUAGACAUGGUGGCUAUUACCAGGAGGAUCUACAACACUAAUUCUAAUCCCGUCAUGGGUGCACUCUUCCCAGAUAUAACAGCAGAUUAUGAGUGUCUUAUUUGGAUACCACUUCCAUAUCAAGAAGAUAUUCGUAUGUUCACCUUUCCUACCCUUCAACGCUACACGGGGAAGUUUAGUGACAGUGACACUAAGAAAAUGGAUGACUUAAUUUCUGUUAUGGAUCUAACCAGCCAAGAAGAAGAUGGAGAGGAAGAUUUGGUCCCCACACAAGUGCUCAACCCUCAAUUGCAGUAUUUCUUCAAUGUCCUCACCCACCGCACUGUUCACGCCUACGAUCCCAUACCACUUCCUGCCACUCAUGUUGUAAAAAUUCUUGAGACCCCUGAGAGGCUGUGUGACACCAGAGAUAGAGUGGCAUCCUCCUUCAAGACUCACUUCCCUACCAAACAAAUUGUUAAGAAAACCAAAAGGGGCAACCAAGAUAUGUUUGCAAGUAAAGAUGAUUUUGAGAGCAACAAGAAAGCCAAGCUGGAUGGAGAUGACAAUAUGAGUGUAGGUGAUUUGACUCUCCCCCUGGUGACUCAUGUCACCUCGGCUACACCUGUCCAAGACUUUAUGGCACUCCUCGGCGGUGAAGCUCCGAACUUUAACCUAAUUUGUAAGGAACUUGGAGAUGUUAUAAUACAGUUGAUGGAUGGUCUUGGUAAUGGUGGUGUUGGUGGUAGUGCUGCAGUGAUGACUAAAGUGAUGGAUUGCCUCACUGCCUUCCGCCGAGAGUCGAUUAUCAUCGAUCCAUCAACCUACAACAAAUUUGCCCCUACUUUCAAAGAUACUGUGACUUACCUGUCUCAACAUAAUCUUUGGGACCGUGUCAAAGAAAGUAACCUCGGUAUGAUCAGUAGUGAAGAAAAUCCAAGAAGCAACAUAACAACAGAUGCAGCAGAGGCAUUUCUUCAGAUGGACGAACCACAGCAGCCAGUUGAUCAACCUCAAGCUGUUAAUGAUGACGACGUUGAAGACUUGCUGGAUGAUUUGUAGUGGGUGACAGUGGUACAAAAAGGUCGGAGUUCCUCAUUGUUGUAAAUGAUUCAAGAUACUUUCCUCCAUUUUAUUGCCUUCACAUACUUCAUUCACCAAGACUUGAAUGCUUCCCAAUACAAAGAGAAAGUAAUGGAAAAUUUAACAUUCCUCUGUCUCCUGAGGCUAUAGUACAGUCAAGAUCUUGGUAGCUAUGUUGAGCACAUUCAAGAUCCACAGUGUCCCUCAUUGAUGAAGUGCCAUCAUCGUCAUCAUCCUCUUGAGGCUGAAAGGUACCUAAGCGACCCUCACAGAUUCCUACAGGUGCUGAUGGUGCUCUAAAAGGAAAAAGAUAAGAUAUUAAAAAAUAUAAAUGGACUUAAAUAUACUGCAAUGGACAUAAAAACAAGCAAGUACUUAUACCUGUACGGUACUGUAUACAAUACAGUAUAGGGUUAUUAUGUAUGAAGUAAGGUGUGCAUGUGUGGAAUGACGGAGAAAGAGGAAACAAAAUAAUAAUACUGUAUCUCUUGAGAAACAAUUAUAUGUAAAACCUAUUAUUGUAUAAUGAUCUAACACAUUUGAAACCCAAGAAAGGGGUUUGCUUUGUGACAUAACCAAUAAUAUCUUUAUGGAUGGCAAGCAUCAUUUUUAUUUUAAAAUGGAUUCGGU
rnacentral:misc_RNA from 1 species